GAUUAAGUUAUUAAGGGCGCACGGUGGAUGCCUUGGCACUAGAAGCCGAUGAAGGACGUUACUAACGACGAUAUGCUUUGGGGAGCUGUAAGUAAGCUUUGAUCCAGAGAUUUCCGAAUGGGGAAACCCAGCAUGAGUUAUGUCAUGUUAUCGAUAUGUGAAUACAUAGCAUAUCAGAAGGCACACCCGGAGAACUGAAACAUCUUAGUACCCGGAGGAAGAGAAAGAAAAUUCGAUUCCCUUAGUAGCGGCGAGCGAAAUGGGAAGAGCCCAAACCAACAAGCUUGCUUGUUGGGGUUGUAGGACACUCUAUACGGAGUUACAAAGGACGACAUUAGACGAAUCAUCUGGAAAGAUGAAUCAAAGAAGGUAAUAAUCCUGUAGUCGAAAAUGUUGUCUCUCUUGAGUGGAUCCUGAGUACGACGGAGCACGUGAAAUUCCGUCGGAAUCUGGGAGGACCAUCUCCUAAGGCUAAAUACUCUCUAGUGACCGAUAGUGAACCAGUACCGUGAGGGAAAGGUGAAAAGCACCCGGAAGGGGAGUGAAAUAGAACCUGAAACCGUGUGCUUACAAGUAGUCAGAGCCCGUUAAUGGGUGAUGGCGUGCCUUUUGUAGAAUGAACCGGCGAGUUACGAUUUGAUGCAAGGUUAAGCAGUAAAUGUGGAGCCGUAGCGAAAGCGAGUCUGAAUAGGGCGUUUAGUAUUUGGUCGUAGACCCGAAACCAGGUGAUCUACCCUUGGUCAGGUUGAAGUUCAGGUAACACUGAAUGGAGGACCGAACCGACUUACGUUGAAAAGUGAGCGGAUGAACUGAGGGUAGCGGAGAAAUUCCAAUCGAACCUGGAGAUAGCUGGUUCUCUCCGAAAUAGCUUUAGGGCUAGCCUCAAGUGAUGAUUAUUGGAGGUAGAGCACUGUUUGGACGAGGGGCCCCUCUCGGGUUACCGAAUUCAGACAAACUCCGAAUGCCAAUUAAUUUAACUUGGGAGUCAGAACAUGGGUGAUAAGGUCCGUGUUCGAAAGGGAAACAGCCCAGACCACCAGCUAAGGUCCCAAAAUAUAUGUUAAGUGGAAAAGGAUGUGGCGUUGCCCAGACAACUAGGAUGUUGGCUUAGAAGCAGCCAUCAUUUAAAGAGUGCGUAAUAGCUCACUAGUCGAGUGACACUGCGCCGAAAAUGUACCGGGGCUAAACAUAUUACCGAAGCUGUGGAUUGUCCUUUGGACAAUGGUAGGAGAGCGUUCUAAGGGCGUUGAAGCAUGAUCGUAAGGACAUGUGGAGCGCUUAGAAGUGAGAAUGCCGGUGUGAGUAGCGAAAGACGGGUGAGAAUCCCGUCCACCGAUUGACUAAGGUUUCCAGAGGAAGGCUCGUCCGCUCUGGGUUAGUCGGGUCCUAAGCUGAGGCCGACAGGCGUAGGCGAUGGAUAACAGGUUGAUAUUCCUGUACCACCUAUAAUCGUUUUAAUCGAUGGGGGGACGCAGUAGGAUAGGCGAAGCGUGCGAUUGGAUUGCACGUCUAAGCAGUAAGGCUGAGUAUUAGGCAAAUCCGGUACUCGUUAAGGCUGAGCUGUGAUGGGGAGAAGACAUUGUGUCUUCGAGUCGUUGAUUUCACACUGCCGAGAAAAGCCUCUAGAUAGAAAAUAGGUGCCCGUACCGCAAACCGACACAGGUAGUCAAGAUGAGAAUUCUAAGGUGAGCGAGCGAACUCUCGUUAAGGAACUCGGCAAAAUGACCCCGUAACUUCGGGAGAAGGGGUGCUCUUUAGGGUUAACGCCCAGAAGAGCCGCAGUGAAUAGGCCCAAGCGACUGUUUAUCAAAAACACAGGUCUCUGCUAAACCGUAAGGUGAUGUAUAGGGGCUGACGCCUGCCCGGUGCUGGAAGGUUAAGAGGAGUGGUUAGCUUCUGCGAAGCUACGAAUCGAAGCCCCAGUAAACGGCGGCCGUAACUAUAACGGUCCUAAGGUAGCGAAAUUCCUUGUCGGGUAAGUUCCGACCCGCACGAAAGGCGUAACGAUUUGGGCACUGUCUCAACGAGAGACUCGGUGAAAUCAUAGUACCUGUGAAGAUGCAGGUUACCCGCGACAGGACGGAAAGACCCCGUGGAGCUUUACUGUAGCCUGAUAUUGAAAUUCGGCACAGCUUGUACAGGAUAGGUAGGAGCCUUUGAAACGUGAGCGCUAGCUUACGUGGAGGCGCUGGUGGGAUACUACCCUAGCUGUGUUGGCUUUCUAACCCGCACCACUUAUCGUGGUGGGAGACAGUGUCAGGCGGGCAGUUUGACUGGGGCGGUCGCCUCCUAAAAGGUAACGGAGGCGCUCAAAGGUUCCCUCAGAAUGGUUGGAAAUCAUUCAUAGAGUGUAAAGGCAUAAGGGAGCUUGACUGCGAGACCUACAAGUCGAGCAGGGUCGAAAGACGGACUUAGUGAUCCGGUGGUUCCGCAUGGAAGGGCCAUCGCUCAACGGAUAAAAGCUACCCCGGGGAUAACAGGCUUAUCUCCCCCAAGAGUUCACAUCGACGGGGAGGUUUGGCACCUCGAUGUCGGCUCAUCGCAUCCUGGGGCUGUAGUCGGUCCCAAGGGUUGGGCUGUUCGCCCAUUAAAGCGGUACGCGAGCUGGGUUCAGAACGUCGUGAGACAGUUCGGUCCCUAUCCGUCGUGGGCGUAGGAAAUUUGAGAGGAGCUGUCCUUAGUACGAGAGGACCGGGAUGGACAUACCUCUGGUGUACCAGUUGUCGUGCCAACGGCAUAGCUGGGUAGCUAUGUGUGGACGGGAUAAGUGCUGAAAGCAUCUAAGCAUGAAGCCCCCCUCAAGAUGAGAUUUCCCAACUUCGGUUAUAAGAUCCCUCAAAGAUGAUGAGGUUAAUAGGUUCGAGGUGGAAGCAUGGUGACAUGUGGAGCUGACGAAUACUAAUCGAUCGAAGACUUAAUCAA
rnacentral:rRNA from 1 species